AGAGUUUGAUCCUGGCUCAGGAUGAACGCUAGCGACAGGCUUAACACAUGCAAGUCGAGGGGCGAGCGGGGGAGUAGCAAUACUCCCGCCGGCGACCGGCGCACGGGUGAGUAACACGUAUGAAACCUGCCCGUAGCAGGGGGAUAAGCGGAAGAAAUUCCGUCUAAUACCGCGUAACAACCCUUGGAGGCAUCUCCUCGGGUUUAAAGGAAGCGAUUCCGGCUACGGAUGGUCAUGCGUCGCAUUAGCUAGUUGGCGGGGUAACGGCCCACCAAGGCGACGAUGCGUAGGGGUUCUGAGAGGAAGGUCCCCCACACUGGUACUGAGACACGGACCAGACUCCUACGGGAGGCAGCAGUGAGGAAUAUUGGUCAAUGGCCGCAGGGCUGAACCAGCCAAGUCGCGUGAGGGAUGACGGUCCUAUGGAUUGUAAACCUCUUUUGUCAGGGAGCAAAGGGCGUCACGUGUGGCGUUUUGCGAGUACCUGAAGAAAAAGCAUCGGCUAACUCCGUG
rnacentral:rRNA from 1 species